AAACCAAUCAGGGCUGUUGGUCUCACAAGCCCAGAAACCUCUAGACCCCAUGUUGGGAAUAAGAGAAAGGGGCUGCAGAAGGUUCUUCAGUGAUAUGAGCUCUAUGUUUCCAAUGCAGGUGGCUGGGCUGCUCCGCCCUGGGCUGAGGACGAGGUUGUUCUUCUAAGACACAUGUGUCUCUCACCUUCUCCCUGCAACCAAUGGGGCAGCCAGGCAUGUCUCUCCUGUGGUAGUGGCAGAAAUAACAAGAGCCAGGCUCGGCCCUGGCUCAAUGCCACUCCUGCCCUGGACUAGCAGCAAAAGCAACUCUCUGAGUCAGGAGCAAAUUCAAAGGUUGGGGGAGCACACCCUGCCCAUGAAGACACCAUGAUCAGGCAAGAGGGAGAAGAGAAAAAUUAGGACCAUCAAUGCAAUCUGACACAGCUACUGACAUAUAAUAAAGAAGAGAUUCCACAUUUUAA